rnacentral:rRNA from 1 species
AUUGAACGCUGGCGGAAUGCUUUACACAUGCAAGUCGAACGGUAGAGGGGGCAACCCCUCGAGAGUGGCGAACGGGUGAGUAAUAUAUCGGAACGUGCCCAGUCGUGGGGGAUAACGUAGCGAAAGUUACGCUAAUACCGCAUACGAUCCAAGGAUGAAAGCGGGGGACUCGCAAGAGCCUCGCGCGAUUGGAGCGGCCGAUGUCGGAUUAGCUAGUUGGUGGGGUAAAGGCCUACCAAGGCGACGAUCCGUAGCGGGUCUGAGAGGAUGAUCCGCCGCACUGGGACUGAGACACGGCCCAGACUCCUACGGGAGGCAGCAGUGGGGAAUUUUGGACAAUGGGGGGCAACCCUGAUCCAGCCAUGCCGCGUGAGUGAAGAAGGCCUUCGGGUUGUAAAGCUCUUUCAGACGGAAAGAAAACGCAUCGGUGAAUACCCGAUGUGGAUGACGGUACCGUAAGAAGAAGCAACCGGCUAACUACGUG